AUGUUAUGUGAACAAAUGAAACACAGCUCACUGCCAAACAUCAUGGUUCAGCAAAACUCAGCCUUUGAUAGAGACGCUUCUCCUCCACCGAGCGUCCAGGAGGAGAAACCCAGAGUUAGUUUUGCUGGCAGAUAUUUGUCGUGCGAGACCAAACGUGACCAGAAGAUGAGCAUUGGUUCUUUUUGUUCUGUCCGUCUGUCUUUCAUCUGUACAUCUGUCCCUCAUCUGUCCGUCUGUCCCUCAUCUGUUCGUCUGUCCCUCAUCUGUCCACCUGUCCCUCUGUCCUUCAUCUGUUCGUCUGUCCUUCAUUCUGUCUAUCCUUUGUCUGUCCUUCAUUUUUCUCUCUGUCCUUCAUCUGUCUGUCUAUUUUCAUCUGUUCGUCUGUCCCUUAUCUGUCCGUCUGUUCUUCAUCUGUCUGUCUGUCCUUCAAUUAGCCGUCUGUUUUCAUCUGUUCGUCUGUCCCUCAUCUGUCCGUUUCUUCGUCAUCUGUGCAUCUGUCCCUCAUCUGUCCGUCUGUCCUUCAUCUGUCCUCAUCUGUCCAUCAUCUGUCUGUCUGUCCUUCAUCUGUCCAUCUGUCCUUCAUCCGUCUGUCCAUCCUUCAUCUGUCCGUUUGUCCUUCAUCUGCCUCUCAUCUAUCCAUCUGUCGCUAAUCUGUCCUUCAUCUGUCCAUCUGUUCCUCAUCUGUGCAUCUGUCCCUCAUCUGUCCGUCUGUCCUUCAUCUGUCCUCAUCUGUCCAUCAUCUGUCUGUCUGUCCUUCAUCUGUCCAUCUGUCCUUCAUCCGUCUGUCCAUCCUUCAUCUGUCCGUUUGUCCUUCAUCUGCCUCUCAUCUAUCCAUCUGUCCCUAAUCUGUCCGUCUGUCCUUCAUUCUGUCCAUCCUUCGUCUAUCUGUCCUUCAUCUGUCCAUCUGUUUUCAUCUGUUCAUCUGUCCCUCAUCUGUCCAUCUGUCCUUCAUCUGUCUGUCCUUCAACUAGCUGUCUGUUUCAUCUGUUCAUCUGUCCUUCAUCUGUCCAUCUGUUUCCAUCUGUCCUUUCUCUUUCUAACUGUCCCUCACCUGUCCAUCUGUCCUUCAUCUGUCUUUCCGUCCUUCAUUGGUCCCUCUGUCCUUCAUCCAUUUGUCCUUCAUCUGUUUGUUUGUCCUUCAUCUGUCUGUCUGUCCAUCCGUCUGUCCCUCAUCUGUCCAUUUGUCCCUCAUCUGUCCGUCAUCUGUCCGUCUGUCCUUCAUCUGUCCCUCAUCUGUCCGUCUGUCCUUUCAUCUGUCCGUCUGUCCUUCAUCUGUAUAUCCGUCCUUCAUCUGUCUGUCUGUCCCUCAUCUGUCCGUCAGGCUCUCAUCUCUUGGUCUGUCCUUCAUCUGAACUGCUGAUUAAAGCCCUGAGAUGGGAGCAGGUCUUCAUGAUUGUGCUGAUGUGA
ensembl:lncRNA